AGAGCGAGAUGUCUUCCUGGUGAAGGAGCACCCGGACCCCGGCAGCAAAGACCCCGAGGAGGAAUACCCCAAAUUCGGCCUUUUGGACCAGGACCUGGGGACCAUCGGACCCUCGUAUGACUCACAGAAACAAACCAGUGCUGCUCCAAGUGCUGUAGGGGUGAAUGGUAAGGGUAGAAGCAAAUAAAUGCAUUUGAAUGGUCAUGCAGGUAAACUAAAGCCAACGUGGGGACAUGUCUCCCAUCACUGGCCUGUAUAGAGUGGUGCAGGAAGGAGUCCCAGUUUAAACUCUUCCUGUCCACUGGUCUGGAAGUCAACGGUUUUCUGAAUGUGUUUUUGGUUGUUAGCCUGAAAUAAGGUCAACACAAGCUGAAGAGAUUUGAACGCUUUGUUCUACGACAUAAAAUACGUCAGUAAAUACCACACUGGUGGAUUUAAAACAACUCAUAACGUAUCAUAAGCGCUUCUGCAAUCACCCAAAAUCACACGGACAAAUCCCAUCUAACCAGGCAGAUGCUGCCUUCAGGGUCAGCCUAUAAAAUCCGUCCUCCCUAUAUCACUGUAUAAACUCCCCAAAGUUGAACC